GGACUGCAGAGGCGCUGCUGUGCUCAGAAGGGGGUCCUCCGUCACCGUGGUAGGACGGCAGUGCUGCAUUGUGGUUGUGGAAGAAGUAGUUAGACGUCAUGGCGAACCGCCAUACCGCUCUAUCGGUGCUACUGUGUUUGCUGGUCCUCACCAGCGUUCACAUGACCCGUGGUCGACCCGGUGACACGGACAUCCAGACCCUGGCAAGGAGGAUUCGACCGGAUGAACAACAAAGAGUGAUCAGCCUGGGUUGUCCCGUUGGGAGACGGCCCUGCGGCCGGGGGCGAUGCUGUGUGACCCGACGGGUGCCAGAUCGGCCAGUAUGUCGGCCCUGGCAAGUCAGCCACCCCGUGUUUGGGUGUAUCGGCUAAACCCGGUGUUGGGGUGUAUUGGCUAAACCCGGUGUUGGGGUGUACUGGCUAAACCCGGUGUUUGGGUGUAUCGGCUAAACCCGGUGUUGGGGUGCAUCGGAUAAACCCGGUGUUGGGGUGUAUCGGAUAAACCCGGUUUUUGGGUGCAUCGGCUAAACCCAGUCUUUGGGUGUAUCGGUUGGACCCCGUGUUUGGGUGCACUGCAGUUAAACCAUGGAAAAUAUGAGCCACUCGUUUGGAUGUUUCAGUUAAACACGGUAUUUGGGUUUAUCAGACCAUGGCCAGUCAGCCACUCUGUGUUAAGAUGCAUCAGCUUAACCUCGUGUCAGAGCGUAUUAGUGAAACCUGGUGUUAAGCUGAGUCAAUUAAAACCAGCAUUCGAGUGUAUUGGUUAAGCCAGUUGUUGAGUGUACCAGUUAAACCCAGUAUUGAGCAGUAGCGAACCCUUACAUACAUUGUUUGGGUGUACGCAAUAAACCCUGGCGGACCCACCAUUUUCUUGUGUGUAUUUGUAAACGCGUCGUUCUGGUGAAUGAUUCAUCCAAACCGGGUGCAUGUAUGCGUUAGUAAAUAUAGUGUUUGACCGUAUCAGUGUAACUCUGGUGUUAUGCUAUUAUAUUAAACCAUUUAUUUGAGUGCAUUUGUAUGUGGAGACUAAGUACUGAUGGUUGUUGAAAAUGUGAUUCUGUAACGACUGUUCAAACGCAUUUCUUUGCAAUGCUUGAUGCAUGCUUUGUAAGUACACCAUGUAUACUGACUACUGACUACUGUAGCAAUUCGUUAAACUGCCCAUUGUUUGCAGUCGCAUUCCGCGAAGAAGAGAUAAACGCGUGGAUAUGUGAAUGCGUAAUAAAAAAAACACAAUA